rnacentral:rRNA from 1 species
CCUACGGGCGGCAGCAGUGGGGAAUAUUGGGCAAUGGAGGCAACUCUGACCCAGCAAUGCCGCGUGAGUGACGAAGGCUAUUUUAUUGUAAAGCUCUUUUCUUUGGAACGAAUAAAUGUCGGUACCAAAGGAAUAAGCCCCGGCUAACUACGUGCCAGCAGCUGCGGUAAUACGUAGGGGUCAAGUGUUGUUCGGAAUGACUGGGGGUAAAGGGUGUGUAGGUGUUUUGUUUAGGUAGAUGUGUAAUAUCCAGGGCUUAACACCGGUGCUGCAUCUAAAACUGUUAGACUAGAGAACUGGUGAGGAUGGUGGAAUGUCUAGUGUAGCGGUGGAAUGCGUAGAUAUUA